CUACGGGGUGCUGCAGUGAGGAAUAUUGCACAAUGGGGGAAACCCUGAUGCAGCAACGCCGCGUGGAGGAUGACGCAUUUCGGUGUGUAAACUCCUUUUAUAUGUCAAGAAAAUGACGGUAGCAUAUGAAUAAGCACCGGCUAACUCCGUGCCAGCAGCCGCGGUAAUACGGAGGGUGCAAGCGUUACUCGGAAUCACUGGGCGGAAAGGACGCGUAGGCGGGUUGGCAAGUCAGGUGUGAAAUCCUACAGCUUAACUGUAGAACUGCACUUGAAACUGGCAGCCUAGAGUAUGGGAGGGGGAGAUGGAAUUAGUAGUGUAGGGGUAAAAUCCGUAGAUAUUACUAGGAAUAUCAAAAGCGAAGGCGAUCUCCUGGAACAUUACUGACGCUAAGGCGUGAAAGCGUGGGGAGCAAACAGGAUUAGAUACCCCCGUAGUC
rnacentral:rRNA from 1 species